CCUACGUGAGGCAGCAGUGGGGGAUAUUGCACAAUGGGCGAAAGCCUGAUGCAGCGACGCCGCGUGAGGGAAGACGGUCUUCGGAUUUUAAACCUCUUUCUUUGGGGAAGAAAAUGACGGUACCCCAAGAGGAAGCUCCGGCUAACUACGUGCCAGCAGCCGCGGUAAUACGGAGGAUGCGAGCGUUAUCCGGAUUUAUUGGGUGUAAAGGGUGCGUAGGCGGGAUGCCAAGUCAGCGGUAAAAAUUCGGGGCUCAACGCCGUCGAGCCGUUGAAACUGGCGGUCUUGAGUGGGCGAGAAGUAUGCGGAAUGCGUGGUGUAGCGGUGAAAUGCAUAGAUAUCACGCAGAACUCCGAUUGCGAAGGCAGCAUACCGGCGCCCUACUGACGCUGAGGCACGAAAGCGUGGGUAUCGAACAGGAUUAGAUACCCCUGUAGUC
rnacentral:rRNA from 1 species